UGAUUUUUUAAUGGCCGCGGUAUUUUGACCGUGCAAAGGUAGCAUAAUCAUUAGUCUAUUAAUUGUGGACUUGUAUGAAUGGUUGGACGAAAUAUUUACUGUCUCAAUUUUAUAAUUAGAAUUUAAAUUUUGAGUUAAAAUGCUUAAAUUUUUUUAAAGGACGAGAAGACCCUAUAGAUCUUUAUUUAUUAUUACUUUUAUUAUUUUAGAUUUUAUUUUUUAAAUGUUAUUAUUUUUUUUGUUGGGGUGACAUGGAGAUAUAUUUAACUCUUUAUUUUAUUUUUCAUUUAUUUAUGUUUAUUUGACCUUUUAUUAUUGUUAUAAGAUAUAGAUACCUUAGGGAUAACAGCGUAAUUCUUUUUGAGAGUUCAUAUUGACAAUUGAGAUUGCGACCUCGAUGUUGGAUUAAGAUUAUAAUUUGGUGUAGUAGCUUUAUUAUUAGGUCUGUUCGACCUUUAAAUUCUUACAUGAUCUGAGUUCAAA
rnacentral:rRNA from 1 species